ACGAACGCUGGCGGCACGCCUAACACAUGCAAGUCGAGCGAGAAUUAUUUUAAGGAUUCUUCGGAUGAAUUAAAAUGAGGAAAGCGGCGGACGGGUGAGUAACGCGUGGGAAACCUGCCCUAUACAGGGGAAUAGCUCCGGGAAACCGGGAUUAAUGCCCCAUAAAACUCUAGCACCGCAUGGUGCAUGGGUCAAAGUUCUGGCGGUAUAGGAUGGUCCCGCGUCUGAUUAGCUAGUUGGUGAGGUAACGGCUUACCAAGGCGACGAUCAGUAGCCGGCCUGAGAGGGUGAACGGCCACACUGGAACUGAGACACGGUCCAGACUCCUACGGGAGGCAGCAGUGGGGAAUAUUGCACAAUGGGGGAAACCCUGAUGCAGCGAUGCCGCGUGAGCGAUGAAGGCCUUCGGGUCGUAAAGCUCUGUCCUUAGGGAAGAAUAAUGACGGUACCUAAGGAGGAAGCACCGGCUAACUACGUGCCAGCAGCCGCAGUAACAC
rnacentral:rRNA from 1 species